UGGUAUUUUUGUGAAAGAAAACAAAAGAAUAAUUCGUCGCUUACGUGAAGUCCGGCUAGAAGAAGAAUCAAACUCAGCACAAAAAACUGAUUCUUUUUCCAGAAUUGCAUUUUAAUUCUCUUUUCUCUAGAAAGAAAUUUAUCGGGGCAAAGAAUCCCAGAUUAAAGGGCUUAAUUCUACCCGCCAAACUCAGAAAUUUCCAGAAUUUAUGUAUUUCUUUUUAUGGGUAAGUUUUCUACUGUAGGAAUUUUCUUUUUUUGAGGUGGGUAUUCUGGUUUGAAGUGUCGAAAGUUGAAAUUGGACAGUUUUCGGGACAAAUUUGAUGUUGUAAAACUUGGGUAAUUUCUCCUUUUAGGGUAGGAUUUGAGUUUUAUGCAUUAAUUUCGAUCAAAAGGAAAAUUUGUUAGAGUUGUAUCAAUGAAUUGGAUGAGUUUUUUGAGAGGGAAAGAGAAUGAGCAUUAAGCUACAUUCCCCUUUUAUUGGGACGCCCAUUUGUAGCUCUUUUGAUGGAAGAAAGGGUGGUAAUCUUGUAUAUUUGAGACGGCGAUGGCAGCUGGAGAGAAGAAGCUCUUCGAAAUGUAGAUGUUGGAGGAAGAAUCAUUUGCCACCAAAUGGGGUUUGGUUUCCCCAAAUAUUAUAUGGGAAAAUUGUGAAAUUUCUGAAGGAGGAUGACCUUGAAUCGAUAAAUGGGGUGAGGGUUAAUUACGUGAAAGAGCGUUUUUCGCGAGGUAAAGAAUUGGUGAAGUCCUUAUCCCCAUUGUGGCAAGAAGGGCUGCUUCUUUUCCGUUGCUCGAUUUUUGCUGCGGUGAUAUCUGGUGUGUGCUUGUUGCUGUGGUAUGGCCGUGCCAAGGCUAAAGAAUAUGUUGAAUUGAAGCUGCUGCCUUCUGUUUCUUCGGCACUAAGUGAAUACAUUCAGCGUGAUAUCAAUUUUGGUAAGGUUCGACGGAUUUCACCUUUAAGCAUCACGUUGGAGUCGUCUUCUUUUGGGCCUCAUUCAGAAGAAUUCUCAUGUGGUGAGGUUCCCACAAUAAAGGUCCGGAUUCAUCCUUUUUCUAGCUUGAGGAGGGGAAAGGUUGUAAUUGAUGCGGUGUUGUCUCACCCAACAUUGCUGGUUGCACAAAAGAAGGAUUUUACUUGGCUGGGGAUACCCUAUACUGAAGGUAGUUUAACGAAGCAUACUUCAACCGAAGAAGGAAUUGAUUCUCGUACGAGGACUCGAAGGGCUGCGAGAGAAGAAGCAGGUGUUCAGUGGGAUAGAGAAAGAGAUGAUGGAGCUAAACAAGUUGCAGAGACAGGAUACAUUGUGCCUAAUCAUGGCUCUAGUUCUACUGAAGUUAAUCCCGAGGCAAAUACAAGGGGUUUAACCGAAUCUAUGAGUGAAAAGUCACACUUCUGUGGGGAUGAAGGGAUGCAUAGGAGGGAUCAUCAUUCCAUGGAUACGGGUGUUCCUUAUGAUGUGAAGCAUGAUGAUUUGGAGAAGUCUUUUGGUGUAAAGGCUCCUAGAUCAAGGCUCAAGUCCCUUUCCCAAAUCAUACUUGGUGCAACAAUACCUAAAUUUAAAAGGAAAGCCAAUGGAAAAGAUCUCUCUGUGUCUGGUGGUGCUGCUAAAAGAAGGAUUCUUGAGCAAAGUGCUGCUGCGGCUGUCCUGUACUUUCAAAAGCUCAGACUUGAAGAUUUUAAUCAGUCUCUUAGCUCAGGUGGAGAAUACUCUUCUCUAGCAAAAGGACAUGAUUUUACAACGCUAGCGACUAAUCUCAUUGAGAUUGUCGAUGCCAAAAGAGAGGAAGAUGCUAAUUAUGUGAUGCCUGAAGUGUUAACUCACAGCAUGAGAAGCUCAUAUUCAAGAGAUUAUGUUGAUGCUCCACAUUUAUCCUUUCCAAUGGAUGGAAAGAUUGGAAAUAUGGCUGGCUCCGAUUCAUCUCAUUCAUCUAAUCCUUUAGUGGAUGAUGCUGAAAUGACCAGUGACAGAUUACCACAUAUUGCUGAUGUUGAUGUCGCAGGAAAGGAGGAUGCUACUGAUCUGAGUAGCAAAGAUCCAGAGAGUGUUGAUGUCAUAAGCAGAGAUGAAAGUCCCUCAGGCAGGAAGCAAGACCAAAUUUUUGAAUCUAUCAGAGGGACAUCUUCUGAUCAAGGGCAUCUUGCAUCGUUUGAUCAAGGCUCUGUGCGUCAAGAAACUUCAAUUGCGGGUAAUGAUCCCCAAUCUGCAUGGCAUCUAAAUUUGAAACCAAGCUCAUCCUUAUCCCCAGGAAACCUCAGCGAGAAGUUUUCUUAUCUUGUGUCUGGUCCAUUCCAGAAGUUGAAGAAUGGUAUGGGUCAUAAGUUUGAGGAUGUUGUCACAGAAUUAGUUGAAGAAGUGGAUGAUUUCGGGACUGAAAGAAUUGAUAAGACACUACCAGUUACUCUCGAUUCUGUUCAUUUUAAAGGAGGAACUUUGAUGCUGCUUGGAUAUGGAGAUGCAGAACCCAGGGAGAUGGAGAAUGUUGACGGGCAUAUAAAGUUUCAAAAUCACUAUAGUCGAGUACAUGUGCAACUUAGUGGCAAUUGUAUGUUGUGGAGAACAGAGAAGGAAAUUGAUGAUGGUGGCUGGUUAUCAGCGGAUGUUUUUGUUGAUAUUAUCGAGCAAAAGUGGCAUGCCAAUCUGAAAGUUACUAACCUUUUUGUUCCGCUAUUUGAAAGGAUCCUAGAAAUUCCAAUUGCGUGGUCAGAAGGAAGAGCAAGUGGUGAGGUCCACGUUUGCAUGUCGACUGGGGAAUCUUUCCCUAACCUUCAUGGUCAGCUAGAUGUCACUGGGUUGUCCUUCCAGAUAUUGGAUGCCCCCUCAUGGUUUUCCGAUAUGUCAGCGAGUUUAUGCUUUCGUGGUCAACGUGUAUUUUUGCACAACGCUAAUGGUUGGUUUGGGAGUGUUCCUUUGGAAGCUUCUGGAGAUUUUGGCAUUAAUCCGGAGGAAGGAGAGUUCCAUCUGAUGUGCCAGGUUCCUGGCGUUGAAGUAAAUGCUCUUAUGAAAACUUUCAAGAUGAAGCCUUUAAUAUUCCCUUUGGCUGGAUUUGUGACCGCCAUCUUCAAUUGUCAAGGCCCACUGGAUGCUCCUAUUUUUGUGGGCAGUGGAAUGGCUACGAGAAAGAUGGGUCCUUCAGCUUUUGAUAUUAGUGCAUCAUCUGCAUCUGAAGCAGUAGCAAAAAGCAAAGAUGCUGGCGCUGUGGCUGCAAUUGAUCAUAUCCCCUUUUCUUAUUUAUCAGCUAAUUUCACCUUCAACACUGAUAGUUGUAUUGCAGACUUAUAUGGAAUCCGGGCUAGCCUUGUGGAUGGUGGAGAAAUUCGAGGGGCUGGGAAUGCUUGGAUUUGUCCAGAGGCUGAGGUAGAUGAGACAGCAUUAGAUGUGAAUUUCUCUGGAAGCUUAUCCUUCAACAAGAUUCUGCACCGAUAUUUAUCUGGUUUCCUGGAUCUGCUACCUAUGAAAUUGGGGGAACUGAAGGGAGAGACUAAAGUUUCUGGAUCCCUUCUAAAACCGAGAUUUGAUGUGAAAUGGAACGCACCGAAAGCAGAGGGUUCAUUUGUUGAUGCCCGAGGAGAUGUCAUAAUCUGCCAUGACUAUAUUGCUGUUAAUUCUUCAUCAGUUGCUUUUGAUUUAUAUACGAAAUUGCUGAUAUAUCAUCCAGAAGAAAACUGGUUAUGCGAAGAAGAUGCCGGUUUGACGACUGCAAAAGCUUUUAUCAUGGAAGGACUUGAAUUAGACUUGCGCAUGCGUGGCUUUGAGUUUUUCAGUAUGAUCUCAUCCUAUCCAUUUGAUGCUCCAAGACCCGUGAAUCUUAAAGCAACUGGAAGAAUCAAGUUCCAAGGGCAGGUCACAAGUGCUUCAAAUGUUUCUGACCAAUCUGCUGAUGAUGGACGGAAUGUUAGUGAUAAGAAUAUGGAUUGCCUCAUAGGGGAUGUUUCAGUCUCUGGUUUGAAGCUCAACCAAUUGAUAUUGGCUCCUCAACUGGAUGGGCAUAUGAGCUUUUCACGUGAUCGUAUCAAGCUGGAUGCUACGGGUAGACCAGAUGAAAGUCUUUCUUUGGAGAUGAUAGGUCUAUUACAUCACUCAGUUGAAAAAGCACAAGGAAAAUUGUUAUCAUUUUCUCUGCAAAAAGGACAACUGAAAGCGAAUAUUUGCUAUCAACCAGCAGUUUCGGCUAAUCUAGAGAUUCGUCACUUGCCACUUGAUGAAUUAGAGCUUGCUUCACUCAGAGGAACUAUGCAGAGGGCUGAAGUUCAACUGAAUUUUCAAAAGAGGAGGGGAUUUGGAGUUCUUUCAGUGUUACGGCCAAAAUUCAGUGGAGUACUAGGUGAAGCCUUGGACGUUGCUGUCAGAUGGAGCGGAGAUGUUAUUACUGUCGAGAAAACUGUCUUGGAACAAAGCUACAGCCGUUAUGAGCUUCAAGGUGAAUAUGUUUUGCCUGGCACACGAGAUCGAAAGUUAAAUCCUGAGCAAAGUGGCGACUUUUUCAGCAGGGCCAUGGCCGGGCAUUUGGGUAGUGUUAUGUCUUCAAUGGGUCGAUGGCGAGUGAGACUUGAAGUACCUCAAGCAGAAGCUGCUGAAAUGCUUCCACUUGCAAGGCUCCUUUCUCGGAGUACUGACCCUGCUGUUCGCUCCAGAUCAAAGGAUCUCUUUAUGAAAAGUUUGCAUUCAGUGGGUUUAAAUACAGGAAAUCUUCAAGAGCUGCUUGAGGUGAUAAGAAGGCAUUAUAUAACUUCAUCUGACGAAGUUAUACCUGAAGAUCUAAGUCUACCAGGUUUAUCAGAACUCAAAGGUCACUGGCAUGGAUCUCUUGAUGCAAGUGGUGGCGGCAAUGGUGAUACAGUGGCAGAAUUCGAUUUCCGCGGGGAUGACUGGGAAUGGGGAGCUUAUGAAACACAGCGAGUUCAAGCAAUUGGUGCUUACAGCAAUGAUGGUGGUUUACGCCUUGAGAAGAUUUUCAUCCAGAAGGAUAAUGCCACCGUUCAUGCAGAUGGAACGUUGUUGGGACCCAAGACAAAUCUUCAUUUUGCAGUUCUGAAUUUUCCCGUUAGUUUAGUGCCUAUGCUUGUGCAGGUUAUUGAAUCUUCAACCACUGCUGCAAUUGUUUCAUUAAGACAACUUUUAGCACCAGUGAAAGGGACACUUCACAUGGAGGGGGAUCUACGAGGAAACCUCUUGAAACCAGAGUGUGAUGUUCAAGUAAGGCUCCUGGAUGGUGCUAUUGGUGGUAUAGAUCUUGGUCGAGCAGAAGUAGUUGCUUCCUUGACCUCUGGAAGUCGUUUUCUAUUCAACGCCAAGUUCGAACCUGUUGUUCAAAAUGGCCAUGUUCAUGUUCAAGGAAGCAUUCCAGUAACAUUUGUACACAAUGGUGUUUCCAAAGAAGAAGAUACAGCUACUAGUGGUGGAAGAUCAAUCUGGAGUCCUGGUUGGAUUAAAAACAGAGGCAGAGAGUCUGAUGAUGGUGAUGCAGAAAAGAAAGCUUCAAGGGACAGAAAUGAAGAUGCUUGGGAUAUCCAGCUAGCUGAAAGUUUAAGGGGACUGAACUGGAACUUAUUAGAUGCUGGAGAAGUCAGAGUUGAUGCUGAUAUAAAGGAUGGGGGCAUGAUGUUAUUAACUGCUUUGUCUCCUUAUGCUGACUGGCUUCAUGGCAAUGCAGAAAUCAUGCUUCAGGUGAGAGGUACCGUUGAACAACCCGAGCUUGAUGGAUCUGCAACUUUCCAUAGGGCUUCAGUAUCUUCGCCUGUACUUCGUAAACCUAUUACAAACUUAGGAGGUAGAGUUCUUGUAAAAUCGAAUAGGUUAUACAUAAGCUCCUUGGAAAGUAGAGUUAGCAGACGAGGGAAGCUACUGCUCAAAGGGAGCCUUCCUCUUACCUCGGCUGAAGCUUCCCCUGAUGAUAAGAUUGACCUGAAAUGUGAAGACCUUGAAGUAAGGGCUAAAAAUCUACUAAGUGGACAGGUUGACACUCAAUUGCAAAUAACUGGAUCGAUAUUGCAACCUAGUGUUUCCGGGAAGAUAAAAUUGAGUCAUGGAGAAGCAUAUCUACCACAUGAUAAGGGUAGCGGAGCUGCUCCUUUCAAUAGAUUGCCAUCUAAUCAAACAAGUCUCCCAAAGGACACUUAUAAUCGGAUGGUUGCUGCAAGAUAUGUUUCACGCUUUUUUGACUCAGAACCUGCUACCUCAACCUCAAGGUUCUUGCACGAGUUGCAACCCUCAGCAUUGACAGGAAAACAGACCGAAGUUGGGAAGCAAACAGAACAAGUGAGCAAAAAACCACAAGUAGAUCUACAAUUGAUCAACUUGAAGCUUGUUCUUGGACCAGAAUUGAGAAUAGUCUAUCCUUUGAUAUUGAAUUUUGCUGUGAGCGGGGAGGUAGAGCUGAAUGGUGUUGCACAUCCUAAACUAAUUAAACCUAAAGGAGUUCUUACAUUCGAGAAUGGUGAUGUUAAUCUCGUUGCAACACAGGUCAGACUUAAAAGAGAGCAUUUAAAUGUUGCAAAAUUUGAGCCUGAUAACGGCUUGGAUCCGACCUUGGACCUAGCUCUGGUUGGUUCAGAGUGGCAAUUCAGGAUUCAGGGUAGAGCUAGCAAUUGGCACGAAAAAUUGGUUGUAACCUCUACACGCUCCGUUGAGCAGGAUGUUCUCUCUCCUACUGAGGCUGCUAGAGUAUUUGAAAGUCAACUAGCAGAGUCAAUAUUGGAAGGUGAUGGGCAGCUUGCACUAAAGAAACUUGCAACUGCUACACUCGAAACACUAAUGCCAAGAAUAGAGGGAAAGGGUGAAUUCGGGCAUGCGAGAUGGAGACUUGUUUAUGCACCGCAAAUCCCUAGUCUUCUGUCUGUUGAUCCAACUGUCGAUCCUCUCAAGUCUCUGGCAAGCAAUAUAUCAUUUGGCACUGAAGUUGAAGUUCAACUUGGCAAAAGACUACAGGCUUCGAUUGUCAGACAAAUGAAGGACUCAGAGAUGGCAAUGCAGUGGACAUUGAUAUACCAGCUUACUAGCCGUUUAAGGGUGCUGCUUCAAUCUGCACCCUCCCAACGUCUUCUUUUUGAAUAUUCAACUACAUCACAAGAUUAGCUUGUUCACUUGCCAGCUUUUUCAACUAUGCCCCUUUCCAAGGUAGGUGGUAGCCCUUCUGCAGUGCGAGAAAUUGGAGCAGAACUUUGACUUACUUCCCUCUGCUCCCACUUCAAUUAGCAAGGAUAUGAUAUUGGGGCUUCUCUCGGGAGGCGAGGAUGGAGGUAGGAGGUGGCUGGUGAGGGGUGACGGACCGACGGUAGGUGGUGGCUGGUGGGUGAGAAGCGGCAAAGGGGUUAGAUACUGUGCGAAUAACGAAGUUGCUCUGUUUUUCUUUAUUACUUCGUAUUAUUCAAUUAUUUAAAUUCUGCCUCGUAGUUCGUGAAAGCAGGAAAGAUAUACUUUCUCAGUUUCAUAAAUAUAGCACCUAAGAAAAAUGGUAGUUAUGUGAAAUCUUAUUAGAUAUAUAUCAAU